rnacentral:lncRNA from 1 species
GGGUGCUGCGAAAUGAAGGCUUGAGAGGAUGGUGUAUUAUUCCCUGCCCCGUGCCCGACACUUUCUGGAAAGCAGCAAAACAGUCACAGGUGGAGGGGAGCACACCUCACUGGCACGCAGAGCACAAACUGACAGCACCCCGUCUGCUGAGGAUGCCAGUAAGGUGCCGCCUGGACAUCCACACAGCUCUGGGGUCGUCGUCGUUAUUUACAAAAACAAAAUAAAUGGAAGGAAGAUGGGCAAAAUCUGCUGUUGCUGGGGAGGCUGUUUCAAAAAGAGCUGGCACGUGUUCCCUACCGAAUCCAGUCCAAGGAUUGUUUGUGUCUUUAGAAAGCAAGUGCCAUCGCUGCUUGAUGCAAUGAGCUGAGCUCUGGGAACCAGCACUCGUUAGCACCAGUUUCACUGAAAAAGACAGAAAGAAAGAAGAAGGACAACUAGGAUGAGAGAGAUUUUCCUCCAAAAAAAAAAAAAAAAAAAAAAAAAAGUACUUUUAAAAGAAGCCCCAUUAUGUAAAAGCACAGCAUUGUCUCAGUGUCUCUAUCCAGAGCUUCAUGCACAGCUCAUUUGGCAUGGGAAGGGGAAGAAAGAACCCCUCCUCCAAACAUAGUCCUUGGAACAUAAACAUCCCAUACAUCCCAUAACACAGGAGCCAUAGAGCUCUCCUCUGCUUUCAAAUGCAAGUUUGUAACUUUCAGCCAAUUUCUACUCUUUGCUUUCUCAGAUGAUUUUAAGAUUUAAACCUUGGGAGUAUCUAAAAUAACAAAGGCCUCGAAGCUCUCAACGUGGCAAUGAAAUCUUCAUCUUGAACUCAUGGCAGAGAUGUUCCAGGCCGACUCUUGUGAAUCAUGAAAAUCUUAAUCUGAACAUCAGAAAGGAGAGGCACCUCCUCUGUUACUCUUCUUUAUUCCUUUAUGCUUUUCCCACUUCAUUUUAUUUAAAUAGGGUUACAUUCAUAGUAAUAUAGUCAUGGUGGUGGCUGUUGUUUUCAUUGUUGCUAUUAUUAUUAUUAUUGUUGUUGUUAUUAUUAUUUUAACUCAG